AAAAGCUCGUAGUUGGAUUCAGAGGUGGGGUUGUGGGUCGGGUGUGGCCCGGCAGCUUGCCUCCGUGUGCCGCUCCCAAUCAACCCGCGUUUGCCCCAGCCUCCUAUCGCGCGGAAACGGAGUCCUGCUGGGGUCUCCUUAACUGGGGGUUCCAGCGCUUCCGCGCACAACGUGCGCUUACGGACCGUCCGUGGACGUUACUGUGAACAAAACAGCGUGUUCAAAGCAAGUGGCUUGCCUGCCCUGCAUGUUAAAGCAUGGAAUAACAAGGCAUCGACCACUCGGCGGUGCUUUUGUUGGUCUUUCCCUCCCGGUGGRAAUGCGCAGGCGUGCACACUGCCGGCCUUCUGGCCGGUCUGGGUGCCGUCUCUUCGAGAUCAAUAGGGGCAAACGGGGAGAUACCUAUUGUGGGGAGAGCGGUGAAAUGCGAUGACCCCCAUAAGAGGAACUUCAG
rnacentral:rRNA from 1 species